UGCAAGUCGGACGGCAGCACAGAGAAGCUUGCUUCUUGGGUGGCGAGUGGCGAACGGGUGAGUAAUAUAUCGGAACGUACCGAGUAAUGGGGGAUAACUAAUCGAAAGAUUAGCUAAUACCGCAUAUUCUCUGAGGAGGAAAGCAGGGGACCUUCGGGCCUUGCGUUAUUCGAGCGGCCGAUAUCUGAUUAGCUAGUUGGUGGGGUAAAGGCCUACCAAGGCGACGAUCAGUAGCGGGUCUGAGAGGAUGAUCCGCCACACUGGGACUGAGACACGGCCCAGACUCCUACGGGAGGCAGCAGUGGGGAAUUUUGGACAAUGGGCGCAAGCCUGAUCCAGCCAUGCCGCGUGUCUGAAGAAGGCCUUCGGGUUGUAAAGGACUUUUGUCAGGGAAGAAAAGGCUGUUGCUAAUACCGACAGCUGAUGACGGUACCUGAAGAAUAAGCACCGGCUAACUACGUGCCAGCAGCCGCGGUAAUACGUAGGGUGCGAGCGUUAAUCGGAAUUACUGGGCGUAAAGCGAGCGCAGACGGUUACUUAAGCAGGAUGUGAAAUCCCCGGGAUCAACCUGGGAACUGCGUUCUGAACUGGGUGACUAGAGUGUGUCAGAGGGAGGUAGAAUUCCACGUGUAGCAGUGAAAUGCGUAGAGAUGUGGAGGAAUACCGAUGGCGAAGGCAGCCUCCUGGGAUAACACUGACGUUCAUGCUCGAAAGCGUGGGUAGCAAACAGGAUUAGAUACCCUGGUAGUCCACGCCCUAAACGAUGUCAAUUAGCUGUUGGGCAACUUGAUUGCUUAGUAGCGUAGCUAACGCGUGAAAUUGACCGCCUGGGGAGUACGGUCGCAAGAUUAAAACUCAAAGGAAUUGACGGGGACCCGCACAAGCGGUGGAUGAUGUGGAUUAAUUCGAUGCAACGCGAAGAACCUUACCUGGUCUUGACAUGUACGGAAUCCUCCAGA
rnacentral:rRNA from 1 species